rnacentral:rRNA from 1 species
UUUGCCUACGGGGGGCAGCAGUGGGGAAUAUUGCACAAUGGGGGAAACCCUGAUGCAGCGACGCCGCGUGAGUGAAGAAGUAUUUCGGAAUGUAAAGCUCUAUCAGCAGGGAAGAAGCAAGACGGUACCUGACUAAGAAGCCCCGGCUAACUGCGUGCCAGCAGCCGCGGUAAUACGUAGGGGGCAAGCGUUAUCCGGAUUUACUGGGUGAAAAGGGAGCGUAGACGGUAUGUCAAGU